rnacentral:rRNA from 1 species
GACGAACGCNGGCGGCGUGCUUAACACAUGCAAGUCGAACGAAGAGCGACGGAAGCUUGCUUCUAUCAAUCUUAGUGGCGAACGGGUGAGUAACGCGUAAUCAACCUGCCCUUCAGAGGGGGACAACAGUUGGAAACGACUGCUAAUACCGCAUACGAUCUAAUCUCGGCAUCGAGGAUAGAUGAAAGGUGGCCUCUACAUGUAAGCUAUCACUGAAGGAGGGGAUUGCGUCUGAUUAGCUAGUUGGAGGGGUAACGGCCCACCAAGGCGAUGAUCAGUAGCCGGUCUGAGAGGAUGAACGGCCACAUUGGGACUGAGACACGGCCCAGACUCCUACGGGAGGCAGCAGUGGGGAAUCUUCCGCAAUGGACGAAAGUCUGACGGAGCAACGCCGCGUGAGUGAUGACGGCCUUCGGGUUGUAAAGCUCUGUUAAUCGGGACGAAAGGCCUUCUUGCAAAUAGNGAGAAGGAUGAC